rnacentral:tRNA from 1 species
CGCUAAGAAGCUAAGCCGGGCUAAAAGCGUCAGCCUUUUAAGCUGAAGAUUGGUGCCUUCCAAACACCCCUAGCGA